rnacentral:lncRNA from 1 species
GAAAGAGAAUUGAUGAAUAGCAAAUUUGAAUGUCGAGAGUAGCAAAGCUCUGGCUCAGAAAUAUCUUACCGGUGCUGUUCUCUUACCCUCUUUUUAUAGAUAAUUCUGAUGUAACCAUCAAAUACGUGGUCUCACUUUUUAUGGCGCUAAAUUAUCGGAUCAUAACUAUGGAGUUAGUGGGUCGUUAAUUCCCACUGAUUGCUGUGAUACGUAGUUGACAAUCGUUCAUAACGGUUAGGAUAUGUUG